AUUGAACGCUGGCGGCAUGCCUUACACAUGCAAGUCGAACGGCAGCACGGGUGCUUGCACCUGGUGGCGAGUGGCGAACGGGUGAGUAAUACAUCGGAACGUACCUUAUCGUGGGGGAUAACAAAUUGAAAAAUUUGCUAAUACCGCAUAAUACUCUGAGGAGGAAAGCGCGGGAUCUGUAAGAAACUCGUGCGAUUAGAGCGGUCGGUGGCUGAUUAGCGAGUUGGAGAGGUAAAGGCCCAUCAAGGCAACGAUCAGUAGCAGGUCUGAGCGGAUAAUCAGCCACACGAGAACUGCGAAACGGUACAGGAUCCGACGGGAGGCAGCAGUGGGGAGUUUUGGACAAUGGGCGAAGGUCUGAGUCAGCAAUGCCGCGUGAGUGAAGAAGGCCUUCGGGUUGUAAAGCUCUUUUGUCAGUGAAGAAAACUUUAGUAAUAACACUAUUAAAGCAUGACGGUAACUGAAGAAUAAGGACCGGCUAACUACGUGCCAGCCGCCGCCGUAA
rnacentral:rRNA from 1 species